rnacentral:rRNA from 1 species
GACGAACGCUGGCGGCGUGCUUAACACAUGCAAGUCGAACGCUGAAGCACCAGCUUGCUGGUGUGGAUGAGUGGCGAACGGGUGAGUAAUACGUGAGUAACCUGCCCUUGACUCUGGGAUAAGCCCGGGAAACUGGGUCUAAUACUGGAUGCUACAUGUCACCGCAUGGUGGUGUGUGGAAAGGGUUUACUGGUCUUGGAUGGGCUCACGGCCUAUCAGCUUGUUGGUGAGGUAAUGGCUCACCAAGGCGACGACGGGUAGCCGGCCUGAGAGGGUGACCGGCCACACUGGGACUGAGACACGGCCCAGACUCCUACGGGAGGCAGCAGUGGGGAAUAUUGCACAAUGGGCGAAAGCCUGAUGCAGCGGCGCCGCGGGAGGGAUGACGGCCUUCGGGUUGUAAACCUCUUUCAGCAGGGAAGAAGCCACAAGUGACGGUACCUGCAGAAGAAGCGCCGGCUAACUACGUG